rnacentral:rRNA from 1 species
CCUACGGGUGGCAGCAGUGAGGAAUAUUGGUCAAUGGCCGCAGGGCUGAACCAGCCAAGUCGCGUGAGGGAUGACGGUCCUCUGGAUUGUAAACCUCUUUUGUCAGGGAGCAAAGGGCGCCACGUGUGGCGCUUUGCGAGUACCUGAAGAAAAAGCAUCGGCUAACUCCGUGCCAGCAGCCGCGGUAAUACGGAGGAUGCGAGCGUUAUCCGGAUUUAUUGGGUUUAAAGGGUGCGCAGGCGGAAUGUAAAGUCAGCGGUAAAAUUUCGGGGCUCAACCCCGUCGUGCCGUUGAAACUGGCGUUGUUGAGUGAGCGAGAGGUAUGCGGAAUGCGUGGUGUAGCGGUGAAAUGCAUAGAUAUCACGCAGAACUCCGAUUGCGAAGGCAGCAUACCGGCGCUCAACUGACGCUCAUGCACGAAAGCGUGGGUAGCGAACAGGAUUAGAUACCCUUGUAGUC